rnacentral:rRNA from 1 species
GACGAACGCUGGCGGCGUGCUUAACACAUGCAAGUCGAACGAUGAAGCGCUGUCUUUUUGGUGGUGUGGAUUAGUGGCGAACGGGUGAGUAAUACGCGGGCAACCUGCCCCUCUGCUUCGGGAUAAGCUUUGGAAACGGGGUCUAAUACCGGAUGUGCCUGUCUGGUCGCAUGGCUGGGCGGGGAAAGAUGUUUUUCGGCGGGGGAUGGGCUCGCGGCCUAUCAGCUUGUUGGUGGGGUGACGGCCUACCAAGGCGUCGACGGGUAGCCGGCCUGAGAGGGUGGUCGGCCACACUGGGACUGAGAUACGGCCCAGACUCCUACGGGAGGCAGCAGUGGGGGAUAUUGCACAAUGGGCGCAAGCCUGAUGCAGCGACGCCGCGUGGGGGAUGGAGGCUUUCGGGUUGUAAACCCCUUCGGCGCGGGACAAGGCUCCGUUGGCGGG